rnacentral:rRNA from 1 species
CCUACGGGAGGCAGCAGUGAGGAAUAUUGGUCAAUGGACGAGAGUCUGAACCAGCCAAGUAGCGUGAAGGAUGACUGUCCUAUGGGUUGUAAACGUCUGUUAUAAAGGAAUAAAACGAGGCAAGUGGGCCUUUUUGCAUGUACUUUAUGAAUAAGGAUCGGCUAACUCCGUGCCAGCAGCCGCGGUAAUACGGAGGAUCCGAGCGUUAUCCGGGUUUAUUGGGUUUAAAGGGAGCGUAGAUGGGUUGUUAAGUCAGUUGUGAAAGUUUGCGGCUCAACCGUAAAAUUGCAAUUGAUACUGGCAUUCUUGAGUCCAGUUGAGGUAGGCGGACUUCGUGGUGUAGCGGUGCACUGCUUAGCUCUCACG